GACGAACGCUGGCGGCGUGCUUAACACAUGCAAGUCGAACGGAAAGGCCCUGCUUUUGUGGGGUGCUCGAGUGGCGAACGGGUGAGUAACACGUGAGUAACCUGCCCUUGACUUUGGGAUAACUUCAGGAAACUGGGGCUAAUACCGGAUAGGAGCUCCUGCUGCAUGGUGGGGGUUGGAAAGUUUCGGCGGUUGGGGAUGGACUCGCGGCUUAUCAGCUUGUUGGUGGGGUAGUGGCUUACCAAGGCUUUGACGGGUAGCCGGCCUGAGAGGGUGACCGGCCACAUCGGGACUGAGAUACGGCCCAGACUCCUACGGGGGGCAGCAGUGGGGAAUAUUGCACAAUGGGCGGAAGCCUGAUGCAGCAACGCCGCGUGCGGGAUGACGGCCUUCGGGUUGUAAACCGCUUUCGCCUGUGACGAAGCGUGAGUGACGGUAAUGGGUAAAGAAGCACCGGCUAACUACGUG
rnacentral:rRNA from 1 species